GAUGAAGAACGUAGCGAAAUGCGAUAAGUAAUGUGAAUUGCAGAAUUCAGUGAAUCAUCGAAUCUUUGAACGCACAUUGCGCCCCCCAGUAUUCUGGCGGGCAUGCCUGUUCGAGCGUCAUUUCAACCAUCAAGCCCUGCUUGUGUUGGGGUCCUGCGGCUGCCCGCAGGCCCUGAAAACCAGUGGCGGGCUCGCUAGUCACACCGAGCGCAGUAGCACAUCUCGCUCAGGGCGUGCGGCGGGCUCCAGCCGUUAAAGCACCCACCUUUCGCAAGGUUGACCUCGGAUCAGGUAGGAAUACCCGCUGAACUUAGGCAUAUCAAUAAGCGGAGGA
rnacentral:misc_RNA from 1 species